rnacentral:rRNA from 1 species
ACCAAGGCGACGAUCAGUAGCCGACCUGAGAGGGUGAUCGACCACACUGGGACUGAGACACGGCCCAGACUCCUACGGGAGGCAGCAGUGGGGAAUAUUGCACAAUGGGGGAAACCCUGAUGCAGCGACGCCGCGUGAGUGAAGAAGUAUUUCGGUAUGUAAAGCUCUAUCAGCAGGGAAGAAAAUGACGGUACCUGAGUAAGAAGCCCCGGCUAACUAC